rnacentral:tRNA from 1 species
GUCCCUAUCGUCUAGAGGCCUAGGACACCGGGUUUUCAUCCCGGCAACAGGGGUUCGAAUCCCCUUGGGGAUGCCA